ACGAUUUCGGUGUAAAAAACCGUUUUCUACCUAUGUCUACGCGUACCACUUGUUUCCUCGGGGGGCUUGCCCCCCGCUAGGACCCUUUAUCAAACCUUUUUGUAAUAGCAGUCAGCGUCUGAUACUAAGUUAAUUAUUA
rnacentral:misc_RNA from 1 species